rnacentral:rRNA from 1 species
GACGAACGCUGGCGGCGUGCCUAAUACAUGCAAGUCAAACGAGAGCGACCGGUGCUUGCACUGGUCAAUCUAGUGGCGAACGGGUGAGUAACACGUGGGUAACCUGCCCAUCAGAGGGGGAUAACAUCCGGAAACGGAUGCUAAAACCGCAUAGGUCUUCGAACCGCAUGGUUUGAAGAGGAAAAGAGGCGCAAGCUUCUGCUGAUGGAUGGACCCGCGGUGCAUUAGCUAGUUGGUGAGGUAACGGCUCACCAAGGCCGUGAUGCAUAGCCGACCUGAGAGGGUGAUCGGCCACAUUGGGACUGAGACACGGCCCAAACUCCUACGGGAGGCAGCAGUAGGGAAUCUUCCGCAAUGGACGCAAGUCUGACGGAGCAACGCCGCGUGAGUGAAGAAGGUUUUCGGAUCGUAAAACUCUGUUGUUAGAGAAGAACAAGUGCUAGAGUAACUGUUAGCGCCUUGACGGUAUCUAACCAGAAAGCCACGGCUAACUACGUG